GAUGAACGCUGGCGGCGUGCCUAAUACAUGCAAGUCGAGCGAACAGAUGAGGAGCUUGCUCCUCUGACGUUAGCGGCGGACGGGUGAGUAACACGUGGAUAACCUACCUAUAAUACUGGGAUAACUUCGGGAAACCGGAGCUAAUACCGGAUAAUAUAUUGAACCGCAUGGUUCAAUAGUGAAAGACGGUUUUGCUGUCACUUAUAGAUGGAUCCGCGCCGCAUUAGCUAGUUGGUAAGGUAACGGCUUACCAAGGCAACGAUGCGUAGCCGACCUGAGAGGGUGAUCGGCCACACUGGAACUGAGACACGGUCCAGACUCCUACGGGAGGCAGCAGUAGGGAAUCUUCCGCAAUGGGCGAAAGCCUGACGGAGCAACGCCGCGUGAGUGAUGAAGGUCUUCGGAUCGUAAAACUCUGUUAUUAGGGAAGAACAAAUGUGUAAGUAACUAUGCACGUCUUGACGGUACCUAAUCAGAAAGCCACGGCUAACUACGUG
rnacentral:rRNA from 1 species